rnacentral:rRNA from 1 species
UACAGGGGGGGGCAAGCGUUGUUUCGGAAUUACUGGGCGUAAAGGGCUCGUAGGCGGCCAACUAAGUCCGACGUGAAAUCCCAAAGCUUAACUUUGGAACUGCGUCGGAUACUGGAUGGCUUGAAUUCGGGAGAGGGAUGCAGAAUUCCAGGUGUAGCGGUGAAAUGCGUAGAUAUCUGGAGGAAUACCGGUGGCGAAGGCGGCAUCCUGGACCGACAUUGACGCUGAGGAGCGAAAGCUAGGGGAGCAAACGGGG